GGUUCCAUAGCUCAGUUGGUUAGAGCGUGGCGCUAAUACUAUCCUUGUGUUAACGCCAAGGUCGAGGGUUCGACCCCCUCUGGAACCA